rnacentral:misc_RNA from 1 species
GUAGAUGUAUUGACGCCAAAAGUUUUUAUUGGUUUGAUUGUGGGUGCAAUGCUUCCUUACUGGUUUUCUGCCAUGACAAUGAAUAGUGUGGGAAGUGCAGCUCUGAAGAUGGUUGAGGAAGUCCGCAGGCAAUUCAACAGCAUCCCUGGUUUGAUGGAGGGUACUACCAAGCCUGACUAUGCUACCUGUGUUAAGAUCUCCAC